GAUGAACGCUCGCGGGAGGCCUAACACAUGCAAGCCGAGCGGGAUUUGUUGGUUAGCUUGCUAACUAACAAUGAGAGCGGCGUACGGGUGCGUAGCACGUGUGCAACCUGCCUUUAUCUGGGGGAUAGCCUUUCGAAAGGAAGAUUAAUACCCCAUAACAUAUUGAUUGGCAUCAGUUAAUAUUGAAAGCUCCGGCGGAUAGAGAUGGGCACGCGUAAGAUUAGCUAGUUGGUGAGGUAACGGCUCACCAAGGCUGCGAUCUUUAGGGGGCCUGAGAGGGUGAUCCCCCACACUGGUACUGAGACACGGACCAGACUCCUACGGGAGGCAGCAGUGAGGAAUAUUGGACAAUGGGUGAGAGCCUGAUCCAGCCAUCCCGCGUGAAGGACUAAGGACCUAUGGGUUGUAAACUUCUUUUAUACAGGGAUAAACCUACUCUCGUGAGGGUAGCUGAAGGUACUGUAUGAAUAAGCACCGGCUAACUCCGUG
rnacentral:rRNA from 1 species